AGCCCACUGUGCCAUGUUGCUAGUUCGCCUCUUUUUUUCUUUUUUAAUCCUUUUGUUGUUGUUUUUUGAGCAAGGCAAGUGGAAUGAAUUCUCUGCGUUUAGGAUCCCUGUUCCUCUCCCAUGGUGAUGAUCAAUGAAAUAAUGAAAAUGAGAAGAGGAGCAUUGUGUGUGUGUGUGUAUAUAUAUAUAUAUUUUGUCCAGGAAGAGUACGUAACUACAGAUGAAAUUUUACUUCAUGCUUUCUUGGCUAAACAACUUGGGGGCAAAUGGUGGGGCUCACAGCUUUGGGAAGGCAGCCCAGAUCCCUGCCAGGACUGUGGCUGUGCUACCCAGCACACACUGCUCUGCUGCCUUGGGUCUUCUGGGGCCUCUGCUGUUGUGUUGUGCUCAUCUGAGUGUGAGAUUUUAGCACUCUGAUUUUUUGAGCUGUUCUCCUGCCUUAUGUUUCAGUCUUUAAUGAAUGCAUUUAAGAGUAAAAGCUACUAAAGUUUCAGUAGAUACUUGUAUCACUUGUGAUCCUAAAUGUAGACAGAUGGAUCCUGAUCGUGGAUUUUGUUGGCUGUUGAUUGAAAGUUGAAUUUUAACUUAUUGGAGGAGGUUAUUCCUGUUGUCACUAGUAAGGAGAAGAAAAUUCUCUGUGUUAGUCACUUAUUUGUUGGGACUUUUAGGGGGCACAAUAGGUAAUAUAUUUUUCCAUGCCAGUUGCAACACUUGAAAGAGAUACAAGAAUGAACCAGAGAUGGAGGUUCUUUUCUCUGUGUCUCUUCUCUCUGUAAAUAUGAUCUGACUUUCCAAUAAAAAUAAAUAAACCUUAAAGGGUAAAGUAUCACCUGUUCAUUUUGUGAGGCUGUAAUUGGAGGGAAUAGCUCUGAAAUAGCCAGUGGAUUUGUUUAUUUCCUCUUAAAUUGAACUUGCACCAAACCUCCACUCCAGCCCCCAUCUGAACUUGCCUUCUAAGCUAGGCUUGGCUGGGGAGAGAGGAGAAAUCAUGCAGGCUUGAAGGGAAAAAGGACAAGGAGCCAAGCCAAGCUUGCUCAGCUCUUGCUUCCAAGCUUUCUGGUUAGGUCAAGCCUGGAAAGAUGGGGGCUGGGGAAGGAGUUGGAGGAUAGUCCUAGUUAGGAAGUGAAAAGUAAUGGAUUGUUUCCCUCUAAAACUGAUAGGUGACCAGUGUUGAGACUAGGUUAUACUGCGAAGAAUGCUGCUGGCAGGUCUUGGAAGCAGUCUUUCUGGCUUUCUCUAGCCCAUCUUUGACUUGCUCCCUCUUCCUGCCUGUGACAACAACAACAUUUGUCUAGAGUUUUAAGUCUCUAGCCAGGUGUCCUCUGUUACACAAAGGAAAGCAAAAGAUGAGGGAAAUGCGGAGUGUCCUCUCUGAUCUGAUUCUUCGGGUACUGCCUCUCCAUCUACUUAGGUGCUUCUGGCUAGC